GUUCACACACCCGGGACUUAGGCCGGCCAAGCAGCCAUACUUACCAAACCAGUCCAAAAGAGAAAGAACAUGACUAGCCACGGUGUAUCGGUGCAUUUUCUAUAAAUUUGGGGUCGCCAUUCUCUCUGCCUUGUUUUCUCUGCAGAAACCUUCCAGGAAAAUGGAGAGUUGAGAAAAGCAAGAGAAAUAGUUAGGUGAAAUCAACCGAACCCAAACCUAUCCAAAGGCUGCUUGAGUAACCGGACGCUUUCUCCGGGAGAGAUCUGCUCUCUGCAGGAUGGAUGUACAAUCCCCUCCCCCCCACGGGUGUCAAGUCCUUACUGGAGGACAGAGGAGCCGGAAGCGUCCUGUCUAUGCAGGUAGGUGCCCGCAGAGGCCGCUUCCCUCAGGGCUCAGGUUGUCGCCCUUACCAGGUACUCGGCGCCCAGGCACUGCAUGGUACCCGGCAGCUGGGAUUGGCGGCGGUGGUGGUCGCCGUGCACACGGGACAGAGGUGCGGCGACCGGGCCAAGUGGCCCAGGAGGGGCGGGCAGGGCGAGCAGCGCUCAGCGCCUCCGAGCGGUCCCGGGCGCUGGUCCCCUAGGCCCGCCCUUUCCGUGGUGGCUUUAGGUUGGGCGGACCUGCUGGGAGCUGGGGUGGCACCUGCGCAGCACCGGUUCCCAGGAAGUGCUCCUGACCACGCUGCCCCGCCUGGGCCGGUUGCCAGCGCCUGGAGUUAGAAGUGAGGCCUCGGGGAUCAUUCCUGCGGGCGGGGAGCUUGCAGGGGCGUGUCGCACGCAGGUAAGUGGUGCUUUGUGUGUGCAGAGUCCUGUCCUGAAAGCUUCACCAGUUCUCUUUGAGGCGCAUCAAGUUGUAAUCUGUUGUCAUCCUUGAGUUAAGAUCAGGGAGACUGAGGCACUGGACAGCAAUGGUGACACUCUGGCAAGGGGCUCAGUGUCUACCAUUCCAGCUGCUAUUUCUACAAGGCUGAAUCUUAUCCAGCUGGGCAUCCUUUGAAGCACACCCAGUGUGAAUGUCCCUGGCGACAACAGUUUUCUCUUCAACAUUCAGCUCUCAGGACCUUCCUGAAUGCAGACUUCUCAGAACAAGUAGCUGGAAUUCCAGGGAGCCCUGAAUUCAUCCCCCAGCGUCCCCCCUUUAAGUAGACAUUUGCACAACUACAGAAAGAGCACAGUUGAGUCACAGCAUCUCAAGCAGAUUAGUACCAGAACUGAUGGAUGGAGGCUUAAAUACACACCAUAUGUAUAUUUAUAUUUACUGUGAUGAUUACGAUAGUAGCAAUGAAGCCAGAAAAGAAAGAUGAAACAGAACCAAAAAGCUCUGUUAGACAUGGAGAAUAAAAUGAUCAGAAUGACAGCUUAUUUGACUCCAUUUGAUAACAGUGUGGAUUAAGCUGUGGAAGAGAUGUGGCAGAAGCUGAGUGAGGAGAAACUGCAGUGUUUGCGUGACAAUCACAUCUCUUGUCACAUUCUCUUGGCCUUUGGUAUAUGAAUGACAUGGUGAAGAAACCUCCUACUUUCAUCCACCACGUAUCUGCACCUGUCUCUUAGAUGUCUCUUACUCAAGUCUUUUAUGGUACACACCGGUCUUGAGAAACCAUUUUCUUCUUUCAAAGUGUGAAGGCAAUUCUUUGUGCUUCCCGGAGACCUGGUCCUGAGGGGUGUUACCUGGAGAUGCUCAUUGGAGAAAAUGCCGCUUGGUAGAUGUGUUUCCUUAUAUAUGUCACAAGUCGUAACUCUGAGACGUGCCACUGAAUGCUCUCAGUGCCCUUUCUUAUGGAAUAGUAAGGUGUCAGAGUGGGAGAGAUCAUUCCAAGGCACUGGAAACUCCGCCUUCCCUGUGUCUUCCCCGCUGAUCAAUCCUAUCUACAAUGUCUUAAAUAGACAAACCAAAAUAAAAAUUUGAGUAUAUACAGAAGGAAAACUUAAAACACCCUGAAAGAAGACUCGUGACUAAUAACUCCAUCAUUAACUAUGAAUGUCCACUGCAGGGUCCUAUUUGCAUCUAAGUCCUGGGAGUGAGGAAGAGCUGAAGCAGGAGGUCUGAAGAUUGGGAGUUGGCAUGGGACAGAGACCUGUAGGACAAAUGUCAGCCUCUUGGUGACCCCAGACUCGUACUGUCAUUGUCUAGUUGGGCAAAUGUCAUGGUUGGCAGAGCUCAUUUGUCUACUCUGAAAUGUGAGAGUAGAUUUGCACUUCACGAUUACUGAAAAACAAGAAUGUCAUCUGCUUUUGCUUCUUACCAAAUAUCUCGUAAACAUCUCAUUAGUAAUUAAUGUAUACACAUGUUUCUAGAGAAACAACUUGUGAUUUAUUUCCUGAAGGCUUGCUGCAUUUCACUAUGUUUCGCUGAGCCUUUCAUGGCUGUGAGAAAUACCCACACAAAUAUUGACUUAGAGAAGCAAAGAUUUAUUUUGACUCAGUGUUUUAAGACUUCAGUCUACCACAGCUGGAGGGUUUAGGGAGCUGAAGAACUCUCUAUGAUGGGGAAAGCAAAGAGAAAGAACCAGGGGGCUCUCUCCUUCUUCCUGCUUGUCUCAUCUGAGGCGCCUGCCUUUGGCUGGAGAAAGUCUACCUUCAAAGUGGGUGCUCCCUCAGAGUUAAUCCUUUCUGCAGGUAAAUAAACCCAGAGGGACGCUUUCUUCCUCCCUGGCAUCCUUCCACUCUCUCUCGGCGGCAAGGUUAACUGUGCCAGGUUACCUAGGCCUUCUUCUCUUCCACCCAACAGUUGACUUGUCUGUUUGGAGAAGAUAUGUAGAGUUGCAAAGGCAGGGAAACCACUCACCAUGUUCACCCCUUGGCCCUGGUUUAAAAAUUCUUACAUGGUGAUCUCCUCAGGAGAAUUAUCUUGAAGUUUGUAAUCCAACAACUUUUGCCCCCUGUUCUUUGUGAAGUGAAGCCAAAAAGAGAAUGGAGGAAGAAGGAGGCACGGCACACCUCGUUACACACAGAGAAAGAAUAGCUAAUUGUUGUGAAUGUGAAAACCUAGGCUGGAGGGCUUUCCCCAGCUCUGAAAACCUAUGAUUUUUAAAAACACAUGGCAUUUGUAUGAAAACUAAAUGCCAAGGCAAGUGAAUUUCAACCCAAAAGGAAAAAAGUAGAAGAGAGAUGAUCAAUUAAAGAUAACACUUAUUUUUUGAAGAAAAAAGACUAGGUAAUAAAAAAAAAAAAACUUAGGACUGUGGUAAGGUCAGUAGAAUAGGGGUAAGCUAUGCAAGAUCUCUUACUUGGAAGAUUCUAGGCGGUUCCCACCACAGGGCAGCAGGGCCAUUUCUGUUGUAUUCUGCUUUUUUUUCUCUACAGUGUUAUUUUCCUUUAGUUCUACAAUACGUAUUUCCCCCUUAGUCCACGUUCAUGUUUUACAUGAGCUAUAUUAUAGCAUGAGUUAGAUUCCUUCAUAGGCCAGCCUUGAAAAACCCUGCCAGGGAGGGCUAAUGCAGUUACCACUUUCCAGCAGCAGAUGGCACUGUAAGCCAGUAGAUUUUUUUCAUUGAUUCUGCUCUAGGUAUCUGCUCUUGUAUCUACAUUUUUUGUUAUUCACCUAUUAAAUAUUGUUAUUUAAAAAAAUUUAAGGCAGAUUAUAUUCCAUGUAUAUACUUCAUUACUGUAUGCUCCGUCAAAACCUAUUAAGUUGCUGUGGCUUCUCAU
ensembl:antisense